AACGAACGCUGGCGGCGCGCUUAACACAUGCAAGUCGAACGAGAAGGCGUAGCAAUACGCUUGUACAGUGGCGAACGGGUGAGUAAUACGUGGGCGACCUACCCUCGAGUGGGGAAUAACCCGCCGAAAGGCGGGCUAAUGCCGCGUACGCUUCCAUCUUUAUGGAGGUGGAGGGAAAGCCGUGCCGUGGGCACGGCGCUCAAGGAUGGGCUCACGUCCUAUCAGCUUGUUGGUAGGGAACGGCCUACCAAGGCUCCGACGGGUAGCUGGUCUGAGAGGACGAUCAGCCACACUGGCACUGCGACACGGGCCAGACUCCUACGGGAGGCAGCAGUGAGGAAUAUUGCGCAAUGGGCGAAAGCCUGACGCAGCGACGCCGCGUGGGGGAUGAAGGUCUUCGGAGUUGUAAAGCCCUUUCGGCGGAGACGAUGAUGACGGUAUCCGCAGAAGAAGCCCGGCUAACUUCGUGCCAGCCGCCGCCGUAAC
rnacentral:rRNA from 1 species